rnacentral:rRNA from 1 species
GGGUGGUAAACUCCAUCUAAGGCUAAAUACGACCACGAGACCGAUAGCGAACAAGUACCGUGAGGGAAGGUUGAAAAGAACUUUGAAGAGAGAGUUCAAGAGUACGUGAAACCGUUCAGGGGUAUAUCUAAGAAACCCAAAAGAUCGAACGGGGAGAUUCAUCGUCAGCGGCGUUGGCUUCGCGUUGGUGGGCGAGCUCGCGGGCACGCUACCGUGUGCGCACGUCCGACGUCGUCGUCUUGCACUUCUCCCCUAGUAGGACGUCGCGUCUCGCUGGGUGUCGGUCUACGGCCCGAGUGCGGUGUCUGUUGCGUCGCCGGUAAAACGGCACACGGCAAACCAUCGGUCGCCCGGCGGUACUCGCAAGGUAUCAAGUCGCGAAGUACUCUUCGCGUCAAGCCUGUCGCAAGCGCGCUCCACGGCACACGGAGGUACGGACCCAGCGCCGCCCCCGGUCCUGGUCCGCUGUUGGUAGAACGGUGACCCUUUGACAGGCCUUAACCGGGAGCGGGCGGUGCCUCGCGCGCCGCUCCUCUCGAUACCGGUCGGCGACGC